rnacentral:misc_RNA from 1 species
UACGUAGUUUUAGCAGCCAAUGUAAUGUACUGAAAUUUUGGACUAAUAAGUGCCUCAUUUGUUUUAAUACCCUUAAAAUGAGAUUGAAACUAAAUUUGAUUUUGGAAUACUCACGUUUUUAUGUAAUUAUAGUAUGACGAAUAGCUUAAAAAUAAUACUAAUUAUUUUAAUAUUAGUAAAAAACGUACAAUACUCCGUCCGCAGUUUGUAGAACAAUCGGGUUUUAAUUUUGAAGUAGAAAAUUGGAGAAAUGUAAUAAAUUGUUUAAAUUGAUUUUGUUCUUUAUUUUUCGAUUCUAUCUCUAAUUAUUCAUUUGUAACUAGAAUCUAGCAGUUACAAUUUUUAUUUCUUUUGUAACACUUUUUGUGAUGUACAAAGUUAAAAAAAAAAUAUUGUAAAGUAGAUCAUUACACUAAAUUUGUCAAAGUUAUAUUAUUGUUGUUAUAGGUAUAGUUCACGUCAUGUAAAAAGAACGCUGAAAGAAACUGGAGGGAGUGCGUUUGCGCAUGAGUAUACUCGCGCACAAAAGUACUACUGUUUUAUUUUUUAAUUACGCUUUCACUCGCGGCUUCGUAUAAUGGUUAUUGGUAGGUACAUUAAAAAAUACUAGAA